rnacentral:rRNA from 1 species
GACGAACGCUGGCGGCGUGCUUAACACAUGCGAGUCGAACGGAAAGGCCCUGCUUGCAGGGUACUCGAGUGGCGAACGGGUGAGUAACACGUGGGUGAUCUGCCCUGCACUUCGGGAUAAGCCUGGGAAACUGGGUCUAAUACCGGAUAGGAGCCAUUUUUAGUGUGAUGGUUGGAAAGUUUUUUCGGUGUAGGAUGAGCUCGCGGCCUAUCAGCUUGUUGGUGGGGUAAUGGCCUACCAAGGCGGCGACGGGUAGCCGGCCUGAGAGGGUGGACGGCCACAUUGGGACUGAGAUACGGCCCAGACUCCUACGGGAGGCAGCAGUGGGGAAUAUUGCACAAUGGGCGCAAGCCUGAUGCAGCGACGCCGCGUGGGGGAUGACGGCCUUCGGGUUGUAAACUCCUUUCGCUAGGGACGAAGCUUUUUGUGACGGUACCUAGAUAAGAAGCACCGGCUAACUACGU